CUUAACCUGCCGGGAUGAUGAUGGGCGACGUUGGGCAAUCACCUCAUCCAAGGGUUGUGAUGCAAAUACGGCUAUUUGGGAUAUUGUGCCCCCCAGUGCCUGCCCCAUGAUAUUCCCCCCCCCCACAGAUCCAGGUACGUAGAAAUAACCCAGCAGUUGUAUGUGAUGAAUAAUCUGAGAUGGUUCAGGGGAAUCAUCGUAUGUAGCAUAUCAUGCUUCAACCUACGAGAUCCUGUAAGCAAGCAAGGGCGGGAGUAAUUGCAGUGCCCCUCAGGCAUCGCAUUUAGCAACUGUAUGAGCAUGUACAUAUGCCCAGCCAGUCACACAACACAUUCACGCGAGCGCAUAAUUAUGCUAAAUCCGCGAUUGUAUUGGUGGCAUGGACACAUGUACGGUUUCCCUACUGGCGGGCACCCUAGGGGUUUUAAAACCCUGGCAGGCGAGCUGCGUUUCCUUAUGGCACCGACCUGCUGCUCCAUUCAUCUAGAAAUGUUUCUGUUGCUUCUGACACCGAUCGAUUAUUAUCGUUGCUGGCUUUUGCCGCAGUUCCAGCUUCAUGCACCAGGCCAUCCGGGUGGUGCAUCCACAACAGCUCAGUCCUGCAGAGUGCAGACUGUGACGGGGAUGGCGCCCUGGAUGUUACCUGCCGGGAUGAUGAUGGGCGACGUUGGGCGAUCACCUCAUCCACGGGCUGUGAUGCAAAUGCGGCUAUUUGGGAUAUUGUGCCCCCCAGUGCCUGCCCCAAGAUAUUCUCGCCACCCACAGAUCCAGGUACGUAGUAAUAACCCAGCCGUUGCGAUGAAAUUGAGAUGAUUCGAGGGAAUUCCCUCGAACCGGCAUUGCCCCUCGGAAUUAUCAUAGCAUAUCAUUGUUCAACCCCACUUGCUUCGGAGCAGUGAAUUGCAGCAGUGUGUGCACCUUACCUGAAGCCCCCCAGGCAUCACAUUUGGCAACUGUAUACAUAUGCCCAAUCGCACAAAACAUGCAUGCAAGCGCAUAGCUAUGCUCAAUCACCGAAUGUAUUGGUGGCAUGCAUGCAUGCAUGCAUGCAUGCAUGCAUGCAUGUACGGUUAUCCUACGGCUGCUGGCAAGCAAGCCCUGAGUCUCUUUGUGGCACCGACCUGCUCGAUGCGUCUAGAAAUCGUAGUUACACUGCCUGGCCUUUCAUUUCCAGCUGGUCUGGCCUCCACCCUUCAUGUGGCCUUUCCUAGCUAGGCCACCUGCCCUAUCUGCUUCUGGCAUUGAUCAAUUAUUAUCGUUGCUGUUUUUUUUGCCGCAGCUUCAUGCACCAGGCCAUCCGGGUGGUGCAUCCACGACACCGCAGUCCUGCAGAGUGCAGACUGUGACGGGGAUGGCAUCCUGGACUUAACCUGCCGGGAUGAUGAUGGGCGACGUUGGGCAAUCACCUCAUCCAAGGGUUGUGAUGCAAAUACGGCUAUUUGGGAUAUUGUGCCCCCCAGUGCCUGCCCCAUGAUAUUCCCCCCGCCCACAGAUCCAGGUACGUAGAAAUAACCCAGCAGUUGUAUGUGAUGAAUAAUCUGAGAUGGUUCAGGGGAAUCAUCGUAUGUAGCAUAUCAUGCUUCAACCUACGAGAUCCUGUAAGCAAGCAAGGGCGGGAGUAAUUGCAGUGCCCCUCAGGCAUCGCAUUUAGCAACUGUAUGAGCAUGUACAUAUGCCCAGCCAGUCACACAACACAUUCACGCGAGCGCAUAAUUAUGCUAAAUCAGCGAUUGUAUCGGUGGCAUGGACACAUGUACGGUUUUCCUACUGGCAGGCGCCCUAGGGGUUUUAAAACCCUGGCAGGCGAGCUGCGUUUCCUUAUGGCACCGACCUGCUGCUCCAUUCAUCUAGAAAUGUUUCUGUUGCUUCUGACACCGAUCGAUUAUUAUCGUUGCUGGCUUUUGCCGCAGUUCCAGCUUCAUGCACCAGGCCAUCCGGGUGGUGCAUCCACAACAGCUCAGUCCUGCAGAGUGCAGACUGUGACGGGGAUGGCGCCCUGGAUGUUACCUGCCGGGAUGAUGAUGGGCGACGUUGGGCGAUCACCUCAUCCACGGGAUGUGAUGCAAAUGCGGCUAUUUGGGAUAUUGUGCCCCCCAGUGCCUGCCCCAAGAUAUUCUCGCCACCCACAGAUCCAGGUACGUAGUAAUAACCCAGCCGUUGCGAUGAAAUUGAGAUGAUUCGAGGGAAUUCCCUCGAACCGGGCAUUGCCCCUCGGAAUUAUCAUAGCAUAUCAUUGUUCACCCCACUUGCUUCGGAGCAGUGAAUUGCAGCAGUGUGUGCACCUUACCUGAAGCCCCUCAGGCAUCACAUUUGGCAACUGUAUACAUAUGCCCAAUCGCACAAAACAUUCAUGCAAGCGCAUAGCUAUGCUCAAUCACCGAAUGUAUUGGUGGCAUGCAUGCAUGCAUGCAUGCAUGCAUGCAUGUACGGUUAUCCUACGGCUGCUGGCAAGCAAGCCCUGAGUCUCUUUGUGGCACCGACCUGCUCGAUGCGUCUAGAAAUCGUAGUUACACUGCCUGGCCUUUCAUUUCCAGCUGGUCUGGCCUCCACCCUUCAUGUGGCCUUUCCUAGCUAGGCCACCUGCCCUAUCUGCUUCUGGCAUUGAUCAAUUAUUAUCGUUGCUGUUUUUUUUGCCGCAGCUUCAUGCACCAGGCCAUCCGGGUGGUGCAUCCACGACACCGCAGUCCUGCAGAGUGCAGACUGUGACGGGGAUGGCAUCCUGGACUUAACCUGCCGGGAUGAUGAUGGGCGACGUUGGGCAAUCACCUCAUCCAAGGGUUGUGAUGCAAAUACGGCUAUUUGGGAUAUUGUGCCCCCCAGUGCCUGCCCCAUGAUAUUCCCCCCGCCCACAGAUCCAGGUACGUAGAAAUAACCCAGCAGUUGUAUGUGAUGAAUAAUCUGAGAUGGUUCAGGGGAAUCAUCGUAUGUAGCAUAUCAUGCUUCAACCUACGAGAUCCUGUAAGCAAGCAAGGGCGGGAGUAAUUGCAGUGCCCCUCAGGCAUCGCAUUUAGCAACUGUAUGAGCAUGUACAUAUGCCCAGCCAGUCACACAACACAUUCACGCGAGCGCAUAAUUAUGCUAAAUCCGCGAUUGUAUCGGUGGCAUAGACACAUGUACGGUUUUUGGGCGGGGCCCCAGCGCGAAGCGCCCAGGGGGGCCCCGACCUGUAGGAUUGCCCAUGUCCGUGUGUGUGUGUGUGUGUGUGUGUGUGUGUGUCUGUAACGGACCAAACAUAAUAUCUCGCCCGGCUGAAACGCGUUAUCGGUACUAUACAGCAUUCUCUAUUGCAAGGUAUCUCGCAUGUAGCUAACAAAGACCGUAUGAGCACAAACAAGUUUAGCUGCCUCCAUUCACCGACCUCAAAAGUCACAUCAACACCUCUCGGGCUAUAUUUCAUCUCAAAAGGUGCCGUGUAUCUCAUAAUUGAUUUCCGAGAUGACAGCGUAUGAUAACUCGAACACCCAGCUUGUGUUACCAUUUGCCGGCAUGGGCAAUCCGACUUGCCACCAGCAGGCCAACAUAAUUUACUUUCAUUUCUCUAUGAAAUACACAAGCUGCUUGUUUGUACAUUUACUUUGGCCAAUGCACGGGGCCUCCUGAGACUUGCGGUGUGCCCCGAUGAAGCCCGCGGCUGUGGGGCGGAUUGCUGAGGCCGCUGGCGCUUCGGGGAUAAACAUCACAGACAGCACCGAAAUUCACCCAGCUUUCGUUACCAUUUGCCCGCACGGGCAUUCCGACUUGCGGUCUGCCGCACUGUCCAUGCGGCAUGCACCCGGAAUGGAUGCGAUUCGCGUGGAGCCCUCAGGCGGUGCUGACGAUUUCGCCGGUGCAAGCUUAGCUCUCACACCAUCAGCACUGCUGCAACAAAGCACAUCUCCCACCGCGUUGACACUACCCAUCAAUUGUCACACUUGCCACCUUUGCUACNNNNNNNNNNNNNNNNNNNNNNNNNNNNNNNNNNNNNNNNNNNNNNNNNNGAUAUUCUCGCCACCCACAGAUCCAGGUACGUAGUAAUAACCCAGCCGUUGCGAUGAAAUUGAGAUGGUUCGAGGGAAUUCCCUCGAACCGGCAUUGCCCCUCGGAAUUAUCAUAGCAUAUCAUUGUUCAACCCCACUUGCUUCGGAGCAGUGAAUUGCAGCAGUGUGUGCACCUUACCUGAAGCCCCCCAGGCAUCACAUUUGGCAACUGUAUACAUAUGCCCAAUCGCACAAAACAUGCAUGCAAGCGCAUAGCUAUGCUCAAUCACCGAAUGUAUUGGUGGCAUGCAUGCAUGCAUGCAUGUACGGUUAUCCUACGGCUGCUGGCAAGCAAGCCCUGAGUCUCUUUGUGGCACCGACCUGCUCGAUGCGUCUAGAAAUCGUAGUUACACUGCCUGGCCUUUCAUUUCCAGCUGGUCUGGCCUCCACCCUUCAUGUGGCCUUUCCUAGCUAGGCCACCUGCCCUAUCUGCUUCUGGCAUUGAUCAAUUAUUAUCGUUGCUGUUUUUUUUUGCCGCAGCUUCAUGCACCAGGCCAUCCGGGUGGUGCAUCCACGACACCGCAGUCCUGCAGAGUGCAGACUGUGACGGGGAUGGCAUCCUGGACUUAACCUGCCGGGAUGAUGAUGGGCGACGUUGGGCAAUCACCUCAUCCAAGGGUUGUGAUGCAAAUACGGCUAUUUGGGAUAUUGUGCCCCCCAGUGCCUGCCCCAUGAUAUUCCCCCCGCCCACAGAUCCAGGUACGUAGAAAUAACCCAGCAGUUGUAUGUGAUGAAUAAUCUGAGAUGGUUCAGGGGAAUCAUCGUAUGUAGCAUAUCAUGCUUCAACCUACGAGAUCCUGUAAGCAAGCAAGGGCGGGAGUAAUUGCAGUGCCCCUCAGGCAUCGCAUUUAGCAACUGUAUGAGCAUGUACAUAUGCCCAGCCAGUCACACAACACAUUCACGCGAGCGCAUAAUUAUGCUAAAUCCGCGAUUGUAUCGGUGGCAUGGACACAUGUACGGUUUCCCUACUGGCAGGCACCCUAGGGGUUUUAAAACCCUGGCAGGCGAGCUGCGUUUCCUUAUGGCACUGACCUGCUGCUCCAUGCAUCUAGAAAUGUUUCUGUUGCUUCUGACACCGAUCGAUUAUUAUCGUUGCUGGCUUUUGCCGCAGUUCCAGCUUCAUGCACCAGGCCAUCCGGGUGGUGCAUCCACAACAGCUCAGUCCUGCAGAGUGCAGACUGUGACGGGGAUGGCGCCCUGGAUGUUACCUGCCGGGAUGAUGAUGGGCGACGUUGGGCGAUCACCUCAUCCACGGGCUGUGAUGCAAAUGCGGCUAUUUGGGAUAUUGUGCCCCCCAGUGCCUGCCCCAAGAUAUUCUCGCCACCCACAGAUCCAGGUACGUAGUAAUAACCCAGCCGUUGCGAUGAAAUUGAGAUGAUUCGAGGGAAUUCCCUCGAACCGGCAUUGCCCCUCGGAAUUAUCAUAGCAUAUCAUUGUUCAACCCCACUUGCUUCGGAGCAGUGAAUUGCAGCAGUGUGUGCACCUUACCUGAAGCCCCCCAGGCAUCACAUUUGGCAACUGUAUACAUAUGCCCAAUCGCACAAAACAUGCAUGCAAGCGCAUAGCUAUGCUCAAUCACCGAAUGUAUUGGUGGCAUGCAUGCAUGCAUGCAUGCAUGCAUGCAUGCAUGUACGGUUAUCCUACGACUGCUGGCAAGCAAGCCCUGAGUCUCUUUGUGGCACCGACCUGCUCAAUGCGUCUAGAAAUCGUAGUUACACUGCCUGGCCUUUCAUUUCCAGCUGGUCUGGCCUCCACCCUUCAUGUGGCCUUUCCUAGCUAGGCCACCUGCCCUAUCUGCUUCUGGCAUUGAUCAAUUAUUAUCGUUGCUGUUUUUUUUGCCGCAGCUUCAUGCACCAGGCCAUCCGGGUGGUGCAUCCAUGACACCGCAGUCCUGCAGAGUGCAGACUGUGACGGGGAUGGCAUCCUGGACUUAACCUGCCGGGAUGAUGAUGGGCGACGUUGGGCAAUCACCUCAUCCAAGGGUUGUGAUGCAAAUACGGCUAUUUGGGAUAUUGUGCCCCCCAGUGCCUGCCCCAUGAUAUUCCCCCCGCCCACAGAUCCAGGUACGUAGAAAUAACCCAGCAGUUGUAUGUGAUGAAUAAUCUGAGAUGGUUCAGGGGAAUCAUCGUAUGUAGCAUAUCAUGCUUCAACCUACGAGAUCCUGUAAGCAAGCAAGGGCGGGAGUAAUUGCAGUGCCCCUCAGGCAUCGCAUUUAGCAACUGUAUGAGCAUGUACAUAUGCCCAGCCAGUCACACAACACAUUCACGCGAGCGCAUAAUUAUGCUAAAUCCGCGAUUGUAUUGGUGGCAUGGACACAUGUACGGUUUCCCUACUGGCAGGCACCCUAGGGGUUUUAAAACCCUGGCAGGCGAGCUGCGUUUCCUUAUGGCACCGACCUGCUGCUCCAUUAAUCUAGAAAUGUUUCUGUUGCUUCUGACACCGAUCGAUUAUUAUCGUUGCUGGCUUUUGCCGCAGUUCCAGCUUCAUGCACCAGGCCAUCCGGGUGGUGCAUCCACAACAGCUCAGUCCUGCAGAGUGCAGACUGUGACGGGGAUGGCGCCCUGGAUGUUACCUGCCGGGAUGAUGAUGGGCGACGUUGGGCGAUCACCUCAUCCACGGGCUGUGAUGCAAAUGCGGCUAUUUGGGAUAUUGUGCCCCCCAGUGCCUGCCCCAAGAUAUUCUCGCCACCCACAGAUCCAGGUACGUAGUAAUAACCCAGCCGUUGCGAUGAAAUUGAGAUGGUUCGAGGGAAUUCCCUCGAACCGGCAUUGCCCCUCGGAAUUAUCAUAGCAUAUCAUUGUUCAACCCCACUUGCUUCGGAGCAGUGAAUUGCAGCAGUGUGUGCACCUUACCUGAAGCCCCUCAGGCAUCACAUUUGGCAACUGUAUACAUAUGCCCAAUCGCACAAAACAUGCAUGCAAGCGCAUAGCUAUGCUCAAUCACCGAAUGUAUUGGUGGCAUGCAUGCAUGCAUGCAUGUACGGUUAUCCUACGGCUGCUGGCAAGCAAGCCCUGAGUCUCUUUGUGGCACCGACCUGCUCAAUGCGUCUAGAAAUCGUAGUUACACUGCCUGGCCUUUCAUUUCCAGCUGGUCUGGCCUCCACCCUUCAUGUGGCCUUUCCUAGCUAGGCCACCUGCCCGAUCUGCUUCUGGCAUUGAUCAAUUAUUAUCGUUGCUGUUUUUUUUGCCGCAGCUUCAUGCACCAGGCCAUCCGGGUGGUGCAUCCACGACACCGCAGUCCUGCAGAGUGCAGACUGUGACGGGGAUGGCAUCCUGGACUUAACCUGCCGGGAUGAUGAUGGGCGACGUUGGGCAAUCACCUCAUCCAAGGGUUGUGAUGCAAAUACGGCUAUUUGGGAUAUUGUGCCCCCCAGUGCCUGCCCCAUGAUAUUUACUUAACCGCUUAAAAAUCCAGAUCAUUUUUGGAAUUACAGUCCGUACAUUUUUUGCACAGUGGAUCAAAAGGAUCGUUGUUUGAUACCCGCUACUGCAAAUGAGCCAUACAUAUGCAUGAAAUUCAAGCACAGCAGCAGCAGCAGUUGGUAGUCUUUUGUGCAGGUACCUAGAAAUGCCAUGGACACAAGUCGUGUCGAUGCUCUGUAAUUAAGCUUGUGCGCUUGUAAGACUCUGGCGGUCACUUUUACUUCCGCCGAUCCUCUUUGCCUUUCUAAGGCAUUAGCUAUUUUUGGGACAUUGCUUGGCGUUGGAGAUUCGUCGCUUCGCCUCCUUUAGUAUGCCGGCGCUUGCAGCCAGCUAGCGUGGGUUUACUGCCUUUAUCAUGUAGAACCAACCCUAGCUCGGAUAAAAGAUGAGAAGUAUAAUGGUCUAUAUAUGUACAUAAUUUCCGUCUAAAAACAUGCAUGGACCAUCUGUACAUGACCAAAACUGUAAGAUGCUAGUGGCCACGGGAGAAACAAGCUACAAAACCCUGUCAUACACAAUCAGUUACACACAUAAGCACAGUCACAUGAUCAACACUGUGCAUUGGUGCCCAGCCCCCUGCUGCCUGCUUUCCCUUCCGGAAAUUCUCUCACACACACAAGAUCUAGAUGUGUAGCAGCUGACCGCUGAAAAGGCCUCUCGAGAUGCUGGUGGUCGCGCUACGCGCGUAUUUAUAGAGCCGUACUGUGUACCAGCUGCUACAAGAUGUGUAACAGCGGAACCCACUCUAGAUGCUGCUCUCGUUGCUGGCGUGCGCUCAGCUAUUUAGGCUGUGUACGGUGUAUGAGUGCUUUGGCCUUAGUAAAUGGGUAGAGCGUGCACGCACCCUUAACCCUGGUCCUUAACUCGUACGCAAUGAAUAGCUCGUACCGCCAUAGAAUCGGUGACGAGGAUAAAAUGGGUGCCGUACAGAUAUGGGUGAAAGUGGUUGAUGGCCCACAGGGCAGUGUAGGCCUCCUGUAAGAAGCGAUCAGCUCCCCUGGCAUCUCCCUGAGGACUCUUUGC
rnacentral:lncRNA from 1 species